rnacentral:lncRNA from 1 species
GAUGUGGCAGUGGUAAAUUAUCAUUCUACUUUUUUUCAUACAUCUGUAUCUAGCUUCUUUACUGCAAUUUCCCUGUUAUGGAAGAACAGCAUUCUCUUUCUAUUCACUUUCAUAUAUGUGCUUGUAUUAAAUUUUUCCCUUAAAACCUUCUCCAGACAUUGGAGCUCAUAGCUGAAGGUGUAAUUCUCGUUUUUGUUAUGGAAGCAACAGCAUUCUCUUUCUAUUCACUUUCAUAUAUGUGCUUGUAUUAAAUUUUUCCCUUAAAACCUUCUCCAGACAUUGGAGGUCAUAGCUGAAGGUAUAAUUCUCUUUUUGACAGCAAUUUUGCUUAGCAUUAUUUACAUUGAAGUUUGUCGUCGACUUGGUCUGACAAUUCUGGGAUCUCGAGUUGGGGAAAAUUUUUUGAUAUGGCCCCAAAUGGAGUAUCCAGAGGUAUUUUAACAUUUUUACUUGUCAGUUUAUCUAUUUUUAUGUAGCAUAUAUGAUCCCUACUUCUAUUUAUACGUUUGAACAUAUUUUCAAAGAAGAACUAUUAUCUCGACCCAGAGAAAUCCAAUGUUUUAUUUGGACAUGGGGGAUUGGAGGAGUUGAUUGCAG